AAGUCGUAACAAGGUUUCCGUAGGUGAACCUGCGGAAGGAUCAUUAUUGAAUGAACUUGGUGUGGUUGUUGCUGGCCCUUUCGGGGGCAUGUGCACACCCAUCAUCCUCAUCUCUCCACCUGUGCACCUCUUGUAGACUUGGAUUGACUUUCCGAGGCAACUCGGUCGGGAGGACUUGCUGGCACUAGCUGGCUUUCCUUGCAUUUCCAAGUCUAUGUUUUUUCAUAUACCCCAUUGAAUGUAACAGAAUGUAACAUAUUGGGCCUUUGUGCCUAUAAAAACUUAUACAACUUUCAGCAACGGAUCUCUUGGCUCUC
rnacentral:misc_RNA from 1 species